GAUGAACGCUGGCGGCGUGCCUAAUACAUGCAAGUCGAGCGAACAGACGAGGAGCUUGCUCCUCUGACGUUAGCGGCGGACGGGUGAGUAACACGUGGAUAACCUACCUAUAAGACUGGGAUAACUUCGGGAAACCGGAGCUAAUACCGGAUAAUAUAUUGAACCGCAUGGUUCAAUAGUGAAAGACGGUUUUGCUGUCACUUAUAGAUGGAUCCGCGCCGCAUUAGCUAGUUGGUAAGGUAACGGCUUACCAAGGCAACGAUGCGUAGCCGACCUGAGAGGGUGAUCGGCCACACUGGAACUGAGACACGGUCCAGACUCCUACGGGAGGCAGCAGUAGGGAAUCUUCCGCAAUGGGCGAAAGCCUGACGGAGCAACGCCGCGUGAGUGAUGUAGGUCUUCGGAUCGUAAAACUCUGUUAUUAGGGAAGAAUAAAUGUGUAAGUAACUAUGCACGUCUUGACGGUACCUAAUCAGAAAGCCACGGCUAACUACGUG
rnacentral:rRNA from 1 species